UUCAUCUUUCAACCCAAAGAGGCAGGAGAUGAGACACUGCUGAAAGAGUCAGGGGGAGGCCCAUACCCAGCUGGAAGGACCCUGAACCUCAAGUGCCAAGUGUCUGGCUUUCAGUUUAACACAAGCAGACUAGGCUGGUACCUAUGGGCCCCUGGGCAUGCCCCACUGUGGCUGACCAGUCUUGAUACCACAUUUUCAGAAGCCAGAGAAGACCGCAUCACCUCUAGCAUGGAUGAUACCAGUAGCCAGAUUUUUCUCCAGAUUAAAGACCUUAGUCUUGGAGACUCUGGCUACUAUCAUUGCCUAAGAAGGGUGGGUGAUGGAGGUGAUGCAGACAAGAUGAUCUUUGGUUCUGGGACAAAUGUGGCCGUGGAGCCUGAAUCUCGGGCCCCUCUGUCACCCAGUGUGUUCCUGGUGAGGAAUCAGGAUGCUGUGGCCUGCCUGGUCAGUGACUUCUACCCCAAGGAACUCCAUGGGUCCCUGGCAUCCCUUGGGGACUUAGUCUCAGCCCAGGCCCUCACUAUGGCUCCCACAGCCCAUGGCACCUACAGUGCCAUCCAGAUUGGCAGGGUUGGUGAAAAUGACUCAGUAACCUGCUCAGUGCAGCACCUUGGGAAAGAGACCCUUGUGUCCUACCAGCCAGACACUGGGAUCACUCCUCAGCUGGAACCAUCUUGCCAUGACCAGGAACUCACAGCAGGAGAACCAGGACCUGAGCAGGGGAACCAGGUGCUCCUCAGACUGCUGGGCUUGAGAAUGUUAUUGAUGAAGACUGCGGCUAUCAACAUCCUGUUCACCACCAUGAUCUUGAUCUUUUGAUCUUCCCAUCCCAUGAAAUUAUCCCAUUAAUCCUUGUCUGUUAUCUGCUUCCUCAUAUUUCCAUCCUCUUUUUUCUCAGUCUUCUCUCUGUCCCUUCAUCUCUCCCACCCUAACCUUACAAUCUCACACCUAUUCCCCUAGGCAUUUCAUAGUCUUCUCUCUGCCUUCAUCCCCUCUGUUCCCUUAGAUUUUUCUUUAUUUUUCAAGUCUCCUCUCUUGCCUAUUAUUCUUUCUGUCUCUAUGAUUUCCCUUCUGUGGGUGGAAAUGGGGAAUGAACAGAAGAGAACAAGUUGCCUCCAGAUGAGUUUGA